rnacentral:rRNA from 1 species
UACCAGCGCCCCGAGUGGUCGGGACGAUUAUUGGGCCUAAAGCAUCCGUAGCCGGUUCUUUAAGUCCUCCGUUAAAUCCACCUGCUUAACAGAUGGGCUGCGGAGGAUACUACAAGGCUAGGAGGCGGAAGAGGCAAGCGGUACUCAGUGGGUAGGGGUAAAAUCCUCUGAUCCAUUGAAGACCACCAGUGGCGAAGGCGGCUUGCCAAUACGCGCUCGACGGUGAGGGAUGAAAGCUGGGGGAGCAAACCGG